rnacentral:piRNA from 1 species
UCCGUGACCAACUUCCACUGU